AACACUCAGAAUGAACAUAGUGAGAGUGACAUUAUUAUUAGAAUAACUUUGAAUUGGCAUUGCCUGGGGGUACAUGAAAAAGCACAGAUCCCUCCCCAGGAAGACACUGUUUUGUGUGUGGAGCCUACGAAUUGGGCUGACAAC
rnacentral:snoRNA from 1 species